rnacentral:rRNA from 1 species
GACGUAGGGCGCGAGCGUUGUCCGGAUUUAUUGGGCGUAAAGAGCUCGUAGGCGGUUUGUCGCGUCUGCUGUGAAAGUCCGAGGCUCAACCUCGGAUCUGCAGUGGGUACGGGCAGACUAGAGUGUGGUAGGGGAGACUGGAAUUCCUGGUGUAGCGGUGGAAUGCGCAGAUAUCAGGAGGAACACCAAUGGCGAAGGCAGGUCUCUGGGCCACAACUGACGCUGAGGAGCGAAAGCAUGGGGAGCGAACAGG